rnacentral:misc_RNA from 1 species
AAAAAGGGUCUGACGACUGCCCAAACCACACCGUGAACCAUUUUUCUUAUUGAUGCUCUGGCAGGCCGCCCGCUGGGGGGGCUCAGGCCGCGGUUUCGCGGUGGUCUGCCGGUGGCUCGCAAACCAAAACUCUUUUGAACGUCUCUCUGAGAAUAUCUAACUCCUCUUAGCGGGAGAAAAAAAAAGUCA